rnacentral:rRNA from 1 species
GCCUACGGGGGGCAGCAGUGGGGAAUAUUGCGCAAUGGGCGAGAGCCUGACGCAGCGACGCCGCGUGAGGGAUGAAGGUCUUCGGAUCGUAAACCUCUGUCAGCAGGGAAGAACGGUCACUGUGCUAAUCAGCAGUGAAUUGACGGUACCUGCAAAGGAAGCACCGGCUAACUCCGUGCCCGCAGCCGCGGUAAUACGGAGGGUGCGAGCGUUAAUCGGAAUUACUGGGCGUAAAGCGCUCGUAGGCGGUAUGUCAAGUCAAGGGUGAAAUCCCCACGCUCAACGUGGGAACUGCCUUUGAAACU